CGCGUAGGCGGCCCUCUAAGUCAGACGUGAAAUCCCCCGGCUUAACCUGGGAACUGCGUCUGAUACUGGAGGGCUUGAGUAUGGGAGAGGGAUGUAGAAUUCCAGGUGUAGCGGUGAAAUGCGUAGAUAUCUGGAGGAAUACCGGUGGCGAAGGCGGCAUCCUGGACCAUUACUGACGCUGAGGCGCGAAAGCUAGGGAGCAAACG
rnacentral:rRNA from 1 species